CAAUAAAACUAUAUGCCAGAUUCUAUUACUUUUGAAUAUUCACAGAGUAUGAAAUGAGUUAGACCAUCCCCUGAACUCAGUGGCAUUAUGAAAAGGAUGCAAAUUUAUAACUGAAAGCUCAAAUCUUUUGGGGAUUGCUUUAUAUUAAAACAAAGCUUGUUUGCAUAAUAUGCUUCAGUGUCAAGCUGAGCAAUCUAUGCUAAAAGUGGUAGCUCCAACUUUAAGGGUGGUAGAAUAGUUCACAUUUGUCUGUUGGAUUCAGGAUCUAUUUGACAAGUUAAAUCACAUUUUCAAAGAGCUGCAUGGAGCGCAUUAUGUUUUCAUCCUGUAAGGGAGAAACACAGAGCGAUUAAAUUCAGCAUAUCUGCAAGGAAAAGUACACUAUUUUGCCCCUGAGUAUUGCCUCCUCCCAUCAACCACCUCAACCACCUAUGCCAAAAGCUCAAAUAUUAAGUGUUUGCAAAUGUAAAUGCCAUUCUAUUCUAUCCAUUUUCCACAUAGAUGACUAUGAAGGACCCAUUUUAUAUUUUGUGGAGUCUAUUGACCAGGCAUUAAACCACUUUAUUUAAAUCUUUACUUGGUAUUAAUAGAGGAUAUUUCUCAAAUCAUAAUGCCAAAAUGGAAACUACAGAGGUGCAGAGGUGUGUCAAAGCAAAUGAGAAUUUUGGCAUUCUAUGUAGAUCACAGGCCAAAUCACACAGACUUUUAUACAGGUACAAGGAAAAUUUGUGUGUAUGAGCCAGCAGUUCAUGAAGAUUGGAGGCUGGCGCAUAGGAGGCAGGGUGGUGGAUUAAGAGGUAACAUGUUUGCAGUAAUCAUCUCUCUUUCUGUCUGCUAGUUAUGGCUAAAGCUGCAUGGCCUGAAGGAGCCUUUAAAAAUGAAUGGUCUCUCAAUUACAGAGAAAGAAUUGGGGAGCAGAAACCACUGCUCAGUGGCUGUGUUCAGUUUAGCAUAUUCUUUAGAAAUGAGUUAGGGGACAGACUUUGGGCAUUAUUGGAGCACUUGUCAGUUGCAUGUGAAUAGCACUUACUGAGCUGUUUAUGGUAGUGGUAAAUGGUGGCUGAACCAAUAAUGGCUUCCACUGCUAGAAACCAAGUAACAUCACCGUCAAGCAGCUUAAUGUCACCAAAUUAAUUCUCUCAAAGACCACUGCAUGGAAAUCCAAGUUGAGAGACAAGCAGACAUCCAGAAAAGUAAGAACAACAAUUUAAAAAUAAAGAGAAAAACUAAAGAAACAACGGAUUUCUUUGUUUUCAGGAUUAUUUGAAAAAUUCUUUUUUUCUUUUUUUAGUUUUGAGGCAGAGUCUAUUUCUGUUGCCCAUCAUUCUGGAGUGCAGUGGCACAAUCAUGGCUCAACAGGGAUCAAGUGAUCUUCCUGCCUCAGCCUCCCAAGUAGCUGAGACUUCAGCCACGUGCCACCGUGCCCAGCUAACUUAAUUUUUUUUUGUAGAGAUAGAUAGGGUCUUGCUAUGUUGCCCACAUUGGACUCAAAAUCCUGGCCUUAAGUUAUCUUCCCGCCUCAGCCUCCCAUAGUGCUGGGAUUACAGUUGUGAGCUACUGUACCAGGCCUUAACAAUUUUUAACUGUGGUUCUGCCCACACAUCAAGUCAAAUAAUUCUAAGUAAGCUAACACUGGUUUCUUUGAUAACAGGCUACUACCUGGAGUUCUCUUCAGAGAAAAUUUUCCACUGUUUAUUUUUUGUGACUGAAGACCAUUAGUGAGUUCAGUCAAAGAGCCAUUUCUUGUCCACAUACACUAAAACAAUGACUUUUCUCUUAGAAAUCAGAUAGAAGCUUGGCCUGUUGUGAUGCCAUACUUGGCUAUCUAGGAAUUCAAAUCUCAUGUAUGUUUUAUCCUCCAUGAAUACUCUCUAAGGAAUUUGGGAAUCAACACAGUACAUGUACAACUUUUGUAUCCCCAGGGUUUCCUCCAUAGCCUGACUCAGUGGGCACUCUAAAUGUUGAUUAUGUAAUUGGUGCUUGUUUUCAGAGUGGUAGGCUUAUGCUGCAUGUUGUAGAAGUGGUAAACUUAGGCAUAUGAUCUCUAUAUUUCGCCCAGUUCAUGGUAGCUAGCUGCUAAUACUCAGUUUAGCUGUUAUGAUAGCUGAAUUGAUAGUUAUUACACUUUCAUUACUUACUUUUUGGCAGCUUUCAAUGAACUCAUCUAUGGUAACAACCCCAUCUUUAUUUUUGUCCAUUUUCUGUUCAGGAAGAAAACAAAAAUUGUAUUUAGACUUAUCCCUUAAUACCCUCACACCUGGACCAAAUGAGCUGAAGCUGAUAAAAAGAAAACCUAGCUGCUUAUUUAUUUCACGUGGAGGAACUGUUUCAGAGCAGGAACCAGCAGUUUUUUAGAGAUAAAAAUGAUAGGGCCAAAUGCUUCUGGCUUUUCCCUUUUCAAUAUAAUGUGGUGAAGAUGUAGAGUCACUCUGUCCUAGGUAAAAUCCCACCUUCUAGAUGUGACAGAGCUUGCGCAAUUUGCUGAAACUUUCAGAGCUUGCUUUUUGUCUCAUCUGUAAAAUGAGAUUAAUGAGGAUUUAUAGGAUUCUUGUAAAAACUGAAUGAAAACAAAACUUGUGAAACAUGAGAACUGUUUAGUGUUGUAUCUUGGAUUUAGUGAAUGUUCAAUAAAUGCAGUUAUCAGCAUUGUAAAUUCAAAACCAAAGCUAUUAAAUUAAUAGGAUGCU
rnacentral:lncRNA from 10 species